rnacentral:rRNA from 1 species
AAUCAACGCUGGCGGCGUGCCUCAGACAUGCAAGUCGAACGAUUAAAGCUCCCUUCGGGGAGUGCAUAGAGUGGCGCACGGGUGAGUAACACGUAAGUAAUCUACCCUCGGGUGGGGAAUAACGUUCGGAAACGGACGCUAAUACCGCAUAAUGCAGCGGCACCGCAAGGUGACAGUUGUUAAAGAUUUAUUGCCUGGGGAGGAGCUUGCGGCAGAUUAGCUUGUUGGUAAGGUAACGGCUUACCAAGGCUACGAUCUGUAUCCGGUCUAAGAGGACGGUCGGACACACUGACACUGAAUAACGGGUCAGACUCCUACGGGAGGCAGCAGUC